UGAUUUACUUCGCUUAGCAUUAUACACACUAGGUCCAUCCAUGUUGUAAAAGUCAAGAUCUCGUUCUUUUUUAUGGCUGAGUCAUGCUCCAUUGUAUAUACACACCAUAUCUUCUUUAUUCAUUCAUCUGUUGUUGGAUACUUCGGUGGCUUUCAUAUCUUGGCUAUUGUAAAUAAUGCUGCAAUAAACAUAGGGAUGCAUGUAUCUUUUCAAAUUAAUGUUUUUGUUUUCUUUGGGUAAAUACCUGGUAGUGGAAUUACUGGAUCAUAUGGUAAUCCUAUUUUUAAUUUUUUGAGGAACCUACAUAAUGUUUUCUCCAGUGGCUGCACCAGUUUGCAUUCCUACCAACAGUUCACAAGAGUUCCUUUUUCUCCACAUCCUCACCAACACUUGUUGUUUCUGGUCUUUUUGAUACUGGCUAUUCUGACAGGUAUACGGUGAUAUCUUGUGGUGAUUUUGAUUUACAUUUCCCUGAUGCUUAGCGAGGCUGAAUUGCUUUUCAUGUGUUUGUUGGCCAUGUAUAUGUCUUUGGGAAAAUGUCCAUUCAUGUCUUCUGCCUCUUUUUAAUUAGAUUGUUUUUGUGUUGAGUUGUAUAAGUUCUUUAUAUAUUUUGGAUAUCAAUUCCUUUUUGGACAUAUCAUUUGCAGAUAUCUUUCCCCAUUCAGUAGGUUGCCUGGUCAUUUUGUUGAUGGUUUCCUUCGCUGCACAAAAGCUUGUGUGUGUGUGUGUGUGUGUGUGUGUGUGUGUGUGUGUGUGUGUGUACAUACUCUCAGUUUAUUUUCGCUUUUGUUUCCCUUGCCUUAGACAUACAAAAAAAAUUUUUUUUUUUAGAAAAAUAUUUCUUCUGUCAGUGUCAAAGAAAUUACUGCCUGUGUUUUCUUCUCAGAGUUUUAUGGUCAGGUUUCACAUUUAGGUCUUUAUCCAUUUUGAGCUUAUUUUUGGUAUGUUGUAAGAAAGUGGUCCAGUUUCUUUCUUUUGCAUGUAGCUGUCCAGUUUUCCCAACACCAUUUAUUAAAGAACCUAUCUUUUCCCCAUUGUAUAUUCUUGCCUCCUUUCUUGUAGAUUAAUUGACCGUAUAAGUGUGGGUUUAUUUCUGGGGUCUCUGUUCUGUUUCAUUGGUCUAUGUGUUUAUUUUUGUGCCAGUACCAUACUGCUUGGAUUACUCUAGCUUUGUAGUGUAUCCUGAAAUCUGGGAUUGUAAUACCUCCAGCCUUGUUCUUCUUUCUCAAGAUUGCUUUGGCUAUUUGGGGUCUUUUGUGCGUCCAUAUAAAUUUUAGUAGUAUUCUACUUCUGUGGAAAAUGCUGUUGGUAUUUUGAUAGUGAUUGCAUUAAAUCUGUAUAUUGCUUUGGGCAGUAUAGACAUUUUAACAGUAUUUGGUUCUUCUAAUCCAUGAGCAUGGAAUAUCUUUCCAUUUGUGUCAUCUGCAGUUUCUUUCAUCAGUGUUCUAUAGUUUUCAGAAUACAGGUUUUUUAUCUCCUUGGUUAUUUAUUCCUAGGUAUCUUAUUUUUUGGUGCAAUUAUAAAUGGGAUUGCUUUCUUGUUAAGUGGCCUUUUUAAUGAAAUUAAUUGGUAGCCAAAUGAGGAAGUAUAGCAAAGAUAGAGUUUGUGUUUUGAGAAUUCUAGAUUGCAUAUAAAGUGCCAAACCAAGAAAGAGGACACAGGCAAUUAGACAUCAUUGUAGUUCUGAGGUACAUGAUUGUGGGUUUAUAUAAUACAGCCCUGUUGGAAAGGGAAUUGGAGCUUCAUUGACUUUGCAGACUAGAAGAGAUCAAAGUUGGCUGUGUCACUCCUUUAAGAAAACCUUUUAGCAUUGUGAAUGAAGUUCUUCCAGAUGUUCACCUGUGAUAAUGUGGGCAUGGCUCUGGCUAGAGAAAACCAGUGGUUUCAUCAGCAAAAUGGACCUCUUGUCUUCUUGCCUGUGGAAAGGAGGGGCCUCCUAGCACAGUAUGCAGACUGCUGUAUGGGUGCCAUCAACCUUGUGGCCUGCAACCAGAAAGGCAAGAAUGUGAGUGGUGUUGCUACUUGGGCAUUAAAUGAGAUCAUGUGCGUACGACACUGAGGGCAAAAGGGUGAGUUCCUGUGAAAAUGAAUCAGGUACAUAAAAGCCUUAAUUGCUUUCUCUCUCUCUCUCUCUCUCUCUCUCUCUCACUCUCUCUCUCACUCUCUCACUCUCAUCUUUUCUUCAGCAUUGUGACUGCAGGUAGGAUACUGAUCUUCACUGACCUUUUCCUGUAGAGUAGCCAUCUAAAUUUUAGCAGCUGGUAGGUAAUAUACUGUCCUUUCCAUUCAGUCUGUUCUCCAAAUCUGUGCGCAAGAUUUGAGGAUGCUACAAAGAACCUGGAGUCUUGAUGUGGGGAAUUCUUUGACCUCAAAAAGUGAAAUUUAUACCUUUGAGACAGUCACUCAACAACACACUAGAAAACUGUAUAUUGCAAUUAUAAAGAAAAGGGCAAGCCUCAGGUUUACACAACAUGUGAUGGGACCUCUUGUAGCAGCUGUUGGUCACAGUCAUACACAUAUGUCAGAACACUAGUAAUAACAUCUUUAAAUGCAGAAGGAAGUGGUAUAGCACUGUAGCCAACCAGCUGGGCCUGUAAUUCUUAUGUUAUUAAAUAUUUACUGUAGAAGACCAUCUCAUGGUAUCUUGAAUUGUUUUCUCUCCUUUUAAGGUAAGUUGAUUUAUUUAUAGGUAAAAACUAUAGUUCAGUUAAAAACACUUCUUUUUAGUCACAAAAAGGGAAGGAAAGACUACUGUAUUUUGACUCCAGCUUCUUUAUAAAGUAAAAUGUCCUCUGAUAUAUUUGUUGUUUAUAAGAUGUGUAUUAAUUUUAUUUAAACAUAAUCACUGCUUACUUAGUUGGGAUCAUAAUUUAUGUCAGGCAGCUACAAAAUACAGAUUUAUGUUAUUAAGUUAUAGGCACAGAAUUUAUUCCACUGAUGGAAUGAUCUUUCUUGUUAUUAUAAUAGAUUAGAAAACUGCUGGUGCUUUGGCAGGAUUAGGCUAAGGUAUAAUCUUACUUUUAUGAAACUGUCAUAUGAAAGUACUGUUUAAGGAGAAAAUUUUAAUAAGAUUUAUAUCAAAAUGCUUAUUAUAGACAAUAAAGGAACUAUUGGGCUAAAACUAGCAAAAAAUUUUUUUCUUUCAUAGGUAAUUAAUAAAAUGUCUCCAACAUCCCUAAAGAUCACACUAAGGCAACUCAUGGAGGGGUCUUCAAAGACCUUGCAAGAAGUAUUAAUUAUGGAAUAUCGGCUGAGUCAAGCUUGUAUGGGAGGCCAUGACUUUUAUGAAGGUGUUAGGGCAGUUUUAAUAGAUAAAGACCAGAGCCCAAAAUGGAAACCGGCUAAUCUGAAAGAAGUUACUGAAGAAGAUUUGAAUAGUUACUUUAAAUCUCUGGGAAGUAACGAUUUGAAAUUAUAAGGUGACUGGAUUUUUAAGGGAUUAUUUUGGAGCAGAUGUUGGGAAACUAUGGCACAUGGGCCAGAUCUGGCCUGCUGCCUGUUAUUUAUUUUUCCACCAGCUAAGAAUGGUUUCUGCAUUUUUAAAUGGUUAGAGGAAGAAAGCAAAUACUAAUAUUACAUGAUGUGUGAAAAUUACAUGAAAUUCAAGUAUCAGUGUCCACAA